GUGGGUCGUGAUCUUCAUCAUCGUCACUCGUAUCAGUUCGACGCCACCGAGACCGAGCUACAAUGGUAUCGAGUGACUCGGGGAGGAUUUUGGAGCCUUCAGUCUGUACUCUGAAAGAGCAAGGAAAGGAGCUUGGGAUUUGGAGAAAAGAAAGCGUGACGAAGAUGAAGAGAGGAAUGUGAAAUAAUGAACUUUUUUCUCUGUAGAAUAACAGUUGUCUCAUUGGAUUGCUUUGCUUGUAGUUUCAGAUUAUGUCAUAUACACAAAUGACUAGAAUUUCAGUCAUAAGGUGUACUUAGAAGUUGCAGCUUUCAGUUGUAAGGAGAUUGGUGAUAAUGACUCGGAGUCUGUCCAAAAUGAAUUUUUGACUCGGUGAAAGUAAUUUUAAAAUUUUAUGCAAACCAUGCUUAGCUGCC